rnacentral:rRNA from 1 species
GGNGGNUUGUUAAGUCAGAUGUGAAAGCCCGGGGCUUAACCUCGGAAUUGCAUUUGAAACUGGCAGGCUAGAGUCUUGUAGAGGGGGGUAGAAUUUCAGGUGUAGCGGUGAAAUGCGUAGAGAUCUGAAGGAAUACCAGUGGCGAAGGCGGCCCCCUGGACAAAGACUGACGCUCAGAUGCGAAAGCGUGGGGAGCAAACAGGAUUAGAUACCCUGGUAGUCCACGCCGUAAACGAUGUCUACUUGGAGGUUGUGGCCUUGAGCCGUGGCUUUCGGAGCUAACGCGUUAAGUAGACCGCCUAGGGAGUACGGUCGCAAGAUUAAAACUCAAAUGAAUUGACGGGGGCCCGCACAAGCGGUGGAGCAUGUGGUUUAAUUCGAUGCAACGCGAAGAACCUUACCUACUCUUGACAUCCAGAGAAGCUUGAAGAGAUUCGAGUGUGCCUUCGGGAACUCUGAGACAGGUGCUGCAUGGCUGUCGUCAGCUCGUGUUGUGAAAUGUUGGGUUAAGUCCCGCAACGAGCGCAACCCUUAUCCUUGUUUGCCAGCACUUCGGGUGGGAACUCCAGGGAGACUGCCGGUGAUAAACCGGAGGAAGGUGGGGACGACGUCAAGUCAUCAUGGCCCUUACGAGUAGGGCUACACACGUGCUACAAUGGCAUAUACAGAGGGCAGCAAGACCGCGAGGUGGAGCGAAUCCCAGAAAGUAUGUCGUAGUCCGGAUCGGAGUCUGCAACUCGACUCCGUGAAGUCGGAAUCGCUAGUAAUCGUGGAUCAGAAUGCCACGGUGAAUACGUUCCCGGGCCUUGUACACACCGCCCGUCACACCAUGGGAGUGGGCUGCACCAGAAGUAGAUAGCUUAACCUUCGGGAGGGCGUUUACCCCGGUGUGGUUCAUGACUGGGGUGAAGUCGUACCAAAAUAACCGAAGGGCGAAUUCCACCCCACUGCCGCCCCGUUAUUAGUGUAUACGACCUCCGCCCCCCCACCCCCCC